rnacentral:tRNA from 1 species
CGUCGCCGCCUCCAAAGAAGCGCCCACCCACCAAAUCGGGGUGGGCGCUUCGUCGUUCAGUGGGUCGCACA